rnacentral:rRNA from 1 species
UACGUAGGCAGCAAGCGUUGUUCGGAGGUACUGGGCGUAAAGGGUGUGUAGGCGGUCCUCUAAGUUUGGUGUGAAAUCUCCCGGCUCAACUGGGAGGGUGCGCCGAAAACUGGAGGGCUAGAGUACUGGAUGGGAGAGUGGAAUUCCUGGUGUAGCGGUGAAAUGCGUAGAUAUCAGGAGGAACACCUGUGGUGUAGACGGCUCUCUGGACAGUAACUGACGCUGAGACACGAAAGCGUGGGUAGCAAACAGG